GAUGAACGCUGGCGGCGUGCCUAAUACAUGCAAGUCGAGCGAACGGACGAGAAGCUUGCUUCUCUGAUGUUAGCGGCGGACGGGUGAGUAACACGUGGAUAACCUACCUAUAAGACUGGGAUAACUUCGGGAAACCGGAGCUAAUACCGGAUAAUAUUUUGAACCGCAUGGUUCAAAAGUGAAAGACGGUCUUGCUGUCACUUAUAGAUGGAUCCGCGCUGCAUUAGCUAGUUGGUAAGGUAACGGCUUACCAAGGCAACGAUGCAUAGCCGACCUGAGAGGGGGAGGGGCACAACGGGAACAGAGAAAGGAUCACGACUCAAAAGGGAGGCACAAAGAGGGAUUCUUCAGCAAGGGGAGAAAGCAAAAGGAAGAAACGCAGAGUGAGUAUGAAAGGUAUUAGGAUCGAAAAACUUGGUAAUGAGGAAAGAAAAAAUGUUAAAGAAACUGUGCAAAUCUGGGGGGUACCAAAUAAGAAAACCAGGGAAAAAUAAGGA
rnacentral:rRNA from 1 species